GACGAACGCUGGCGGCGUGCUUAACACAUGCAAGUCGAACGGAAAGGCCCUGCUUUUGUGGGGUGCUCGAGUGGCGAACGGGUGAGCAACACGUGAGUAACCUGCCCUUGACUUUGGGAUAACUUCAGGAAACUGGGGCUAAUACCGGAUAGGAGCUCCUGCUGCAUGGUGGGGGUUGGAAAGUUUCGGCGGUUGGGGAUGGACUCGCGGCUUAUCAGCUUGUUGGUGGGGUAGUGGCUUACCAAGGCUUUGACGGGUAGCCGGCCUGAGAGGGUGACCGGCCACAUUGGGACUGAGAUACGGCCCAGACUCCUACGGGAGGCAGCAGUGGGGAAUAUUGCACAAUGGGCGGAAGCCUGAUGCAGCGACGCCGCGUGCGGGAUGACGGCCUUCGGGUUGUAAACCGCUUUCGCCUGUGACGAAGCGUGAGUGACGGUAAUGGGUAAAGAAGCACCGGCUAACUACGUG
rnacentral:rRNA from 1 species